rnacentral:RNase_P_RNA from 1 species
AGUGCCAAUCGGAUAGUUGCUCUCAACCUGCAGUUUGCCAAAUUGAGAGAGGAAAGUCCGAGCACCGCAGGAUAGGAUGCCUUCUAACGGAAGGACCCCGCAGAUUGUGGGGAUGGAAAGUGCAACAGAAAAUAUACCGCCUCGAACAUGUUUUGGGGUAAGGGUGAAAUGGUGGUGUAAGAGACCACCAGGUUCUGAUGUAAUUCAGAAUGCUUGUAAACCCCAUCCGGUGCAAGAUCAAGUAAACCCCAAGAUGUAAUCCGCAUCGUUAUUCGGGGAGGGUUGGUCGCGUGAUCUCGAUAGUAAUGUCGGGACCAGAUGAAUGACUAUCAAUUACAGAACUCGGCUUAUAGAUUGGCCCUCAUU